rnacentral:sRNA from 1 species
AGAGGGCGAGGGGUGCGUGUGCGUCCGCUUCUCACCUCAGGUCUCCCUUCGGCCCCGCUGCCCUCCCUCGCGGUUGGGUGACAGCUGGGUCCGGUCCGUCGCGGGCUGCCUGGGGCGCGAGGAUCGCGCACCCCGUCUUCGCGCGCGGUGCUUGCCGCCCCGCCCCCUCGUCCCGCCCGUCCCGUCGCGUCGCGUCCCGUCCCCUCGGGUGCCGCCAGCCGGGUGCUGGUGCGAGUCGGUGGCAGCGAGGACAUUUUCUGACUCCCCGGCCCCUGACCCGGCUGCACUUUACAUCCCGUCGUGGGGCCGGCCGCUACUCCGGCCCCAGGAUGCAGAAUGUGAUUAAUACUGUGAAGGGAAAGGCACUGGAAGUGGCUGAGUACCUGACCCCGGUCCUCAAGGAAUCAAAGUUUAAGGAAACAGGUGUAAUUACCCCAGAAGAGGUGAGUGCUGAAGAUAUACUGAAGCCUUUUUAUUUUACAAUAAUAACAAACUAGGUGGCUUUUCUGCUUCAUAAGAAAACAUCUUGAACUUUAAUUUUGAUUUGAGUAAAAUUAGGUUUUAUGACUGUGAUUUAUGGGAAUUUCUACUUCCCAUAGAAGAAAAGAUGUAACUUCCCCGUCAAUUUGCCACUUCUCAUAUUUCUCUGUAAUUCCUCUUUAUUGAGAAAUGAGGGUGAAA